rnacentral:rRNA from 1 species
CGUAAUAGCUCACUGGUCGAGUGACCCUGCGCCGAAAAUUUAACGGGGCUAAAUCGUACACCGAAGCUUGGGAUGCAGCAAUGCAUGGUAGGAGAGCGUCGUAUAAGGGGUGAAGUCAGAGCGUAAGCGCUGGUGGACUUUAUACGAGUGAGAAUGCCGGAAUGAGUAGCGAGAAAUAUGUGAGAAUCAUAUUGGCCGAAAGUCUAAGGUUUUUGGAGGAAGGUUCGUCCGCUCCAAGUAAGCCGGGAGCUAAGGUGAGGCCGAAAGGCGUAGCCGAUGCACAUACGGUAGAUAUUCCGUAGCCGCCAAAAGAUUUAAGUAAGAGGACACCUUGAAAGGACUUGACCCGGGCGAUGGUUGCCCCGGGCGAAAGGGACCGAAAUUUAGUAGGGAAGCAAGUUUGGACGAGGGCGAGAAAAGUCUUAUGUAUAUCUUCGGCGCCCGUACCGCAAACCGACACAGGUAGAUAGGAAGAGAAUUCUAAGGCCAACGGGAGAAGGGUAGUUAAGGAACUCGGCAAAUUGACCCCGUAACUUAGGAAUAAGGGGUGCCACAGCGAUGUGGUCGCAGAGAAUAGGCCCAGGCAACUGUUUAUCAAAAACACAGGUCUCUGCCAAAUCGAAAGAUGAAGUAUAGGGGCUGACACCUGCCCGGUGCUGGAAGGUUAAGAGGAGAUGUGCAAGCAUUGAAUUGAAGCCCCAGUAAACGGCGGCCGUAACUAUAACGGUCCUAAGGUAGCGAAAUUCCUUGUCGGGUAAGUUCCGACCCGCACGAAUGGUGUAAUGAUCUGGGCACUGUCUCAAUUACCCGCCCGGCGAAAUUGUAGUACCGGUGAAGAUGCCGGUUACCCGCGACAAGACGGAAAGACCCCAUGGAGCUUUACUGUAGCUUAAUAUUGGGUUUCGAUAAUUUAUGUAUAGGAUAGGCGGGAGACUAGGAAACCGUGGCGCCAGCCACGGCGGAGUCGACGUUGGAAUACCGCUCUUAAGUUAUUGGAAUUCUAACCUGCGGCCAUGAAUCUGGCCGGGGGACAUUGUUAGGUGGGCAGUUUGACUGGGGCGGUCGCCUCCAAAAAGGUAACGGAGGCGCUCAAAGGUUGGCUCAGCAUGGUUGGAAACCAUGCCUUAGAGUGUAAACGCGUAAGCCAGCCUAACUGCGAGGAUGACGGUCCGAGCAGUAACGAAAGUUGGAGUUAGUGAUCCGGCGGUAUGAGAGUGGAAUUGCCGUCGCUCAACGGAUAAAAGCUACCCUGGGGAUAACAGGCUGAUCUCCCCCAAGAGUCCACAUCGACGGGGAGGUUUGGCACCUCGAUGUCGGCUCAUCACAUCCUGGGGCUGUAUUCGGUCCCAAGGGUUCGGCUGUUCGCCGAUUAAAGUGGUACGCGAGCUGGGUUCAGAACGUCGUGAGACAGUUCGGUCCCUAUCUGUCGUGGGCGCAGGAUAUUUGAGGAGAGCUGUCCUUAGUACGAGAGGACCGGGAUGGACGCACCUCUGGCGCACCAGUUGUCACGCCAGUGGCACAGCUGGGCAACUAUGUGCGGAACGGAUAAACGCUGAAAGCAUCUAAGCGUGAAGCCGACUCCAAGAUUAGAUAUCCCAUAGCGUAAGCUAGUAAGACCCCUUGUAGACUACAAGGUUGAUAGGCUGCAUGUGUAAGCACGGUAACGUGUUCAGCUUGGCAGUACUAAUAGGUCGAGGGCUUGACCA